UACGUAGGGGGGCAAGCGUUGUCCGGAAUCAUUGGGCGUAAAGAGCGCGUAGGCGGCCCUGUAAGUCCGCUGUGAAAGUCAAGGGCUCAACCCUUGGAUGCCGGUGGAUACUGCAGGGCUAGAGUCCGGAAGAGGCGAGUGGAAUUCCUGGUGUAGCGGUGAAAUGCGCAGAUAUCAGGAGGAACACCGAUGGCGAAGGCAGCUCGCUGGGACGGUACUGACGCUGAGUGAGCGAAAGCCAGGGGAGCAAACGGG
rnacentral:rRNA from 1 species